rnacentral:rRNA from 1 species
UACAGAGGUCUCAAGCGUUGUUCGGAAUCACUGGGCGUAAAGGGUGCGUAGGCGGCACGGUAAGUCAGAGGUGAAAUCCCGGAGCUCAACUUCGGAAUUGCCUCCGAUACUGCCGUGCUUGAGGACUGGAGAGGAGAUUGGAAUUCACAGUGGAGCAGUGAAAUGCGUAGAUAUUGUGAGGAACACUAGUGGCGAAGGCGAAUCUCUGGACAGUUCCUGACGCUGAGGCACGAAGGCUAGGGGAGCAAACAGG